UUUGGACUUUCUAUUUUUUUCCCCCUUUUUUUUAAACAUAUUUGAAAAGGCGUCAUAAGAAGUUUACACUUAUUUGUAUAAACGUUGUGUUUUUGAUGACGUAGCCGUUUUAUAUGCAUAGAUGGCGGAAGGAUCUGUGUGGUAAAACGGUUUUCGACGCAAGGUGUUAUGGGUAAUGGAAUCGAGCCGAACAGUUUUUUUUUACCUCACUCUUACUUUUUUACGCUUUCUUACGGUAACAAACUUGCUUUAUUUUACAAAAAUAACUUCACAAAACGAAGAGGAACGUCUGGAGUAUUGUUUUGUUGUUGCAACCAGCAGAGCAGGAGAAAGUAGAGGAGCCUCAAGCUAAGUCUUCGUUUGGAAAUCUACACUUAUUUUCAGCAGGUGUAUCCGCAAUGACUACAGCGAACCACCAGGUGGCGACGUUUCAUCGCCCGACCGCAACAGUGCGUGAGAGCCAACCGAGCACGGAGGAGGACAAAAGUGCACGCUGUCCUCCAUCCUCCAUCCUCCAGCGUGCGGGACAGGUCAUUAUUUCAUAUGGCAGCAAGCCGAGCGAGGCCGCGGAGUUUGCCUGUGAAAUAUGAGUGGAAUCCAGGCUGGCAGGAGCAAUGAGGCUUUUAUCAGCAGGUGACAUCCAGCAACGCCUAAGGCCCCUAGAGGCUUCCUUCCCCCCCAACCCCCUGCACUCCCUCUUGCCGGGAAGGAGAUGCUUCCCUCCGGGGCCUUUUCCACAAACGAGCUCCAGUUUUGGCAGGGUGGUGACAGGGCGCGUGACGUUUGGUAACAAGCUUGGACAGACUCUGGGAACUCUGGGGUUGAGUUAAAUCAGGGGUGUCCAAACUUUUUUUUUUUGCCGCUGAGUACCACACUGAAAAAUCAAAAGUUUUAAUUUUCAAAACCCAUACAAUAUACAUACAGUUGUGAUUAAAACUAUUCAAACCUCACACAAUUUUGGUGUUUUAGCAAGUUGGACAUUGAUUCCGUAUUUUGUUUAUAGUCAUAUCAAAUAAAGAUGCGUUAAUUCUCUUAAUAUCUCAUUGACAAAAUUAUUCAACCCCUUGAAGAUCAUAUCUCUUAAGAACAGAAUUUGAAUAAGGUCUUUUCAAUCAGGUGUUUAAAACAAUUAAACUGUUUGAAAAAGACUGUGACGCUCAGCUUCUUGUAGAUGAUCAAUGGUGUAUUUGCAACAUGGUGAAGUCCAGGGAGUGGUCAAAGAAGUCAAGAGAGGGGGUAAUUUCUCUUCAUAAGAAAGGAUAUGGAUAUAAGGAAAAUAGCAAAGACAUUACACAUUCCAAGAGACACAGUUGGGAGCAUAAUUCGCAAGUUUAAAGCUAAAGGCACAGUGGAAACACUACCUGGGCGUGGUAGAAAGAGGAUGCUGUCCAGUAUUUGAAGCGUACAGUGGGGAGGAACUACAACAGGACGUUGCAGAGGGGGGAACGCAGGUUUCGUCCCAGACAAUAAGGUGCACACUUACGAGAUGAAGGCCUCCAUGCCAGAACUCCCUGGCGCACCCCACUUCUGACUACCAGGCACAAGAAAAAUAGACUCCAGUAUGCCAAAAAUCAUCUGGACAAACCCCAAAGGUUUUGGGAAACUGUUCUAUGGAGUGAUGAGACAAAAGUGGAACUCUUUGGGCCUAUGAAUCAACGUUAUGUCUGAAAAAAUGAAGCUUACAAAGAGAAGAACACCUUGCCUACUGUUAAGCAUGGUGGGGGGGUCAAUCAUGCUCUGGGGCUGUUUCUCUGCCUCAGGUACCGGGAAUCUCCAGCACGUUCAAGGCUUUAUGAAUUCUAUUUCCUACCAGGAUAUAUUAGCUGCAAAUGUCAAUCAAUCAAUCAAUCAAUCAAUGUUUACUUAUACAGCCCUAAAUCACUAGUGUCUCAAAGGGCUGCACAAACCACUACGACAUCCUCGGUAGGCCCACAUAAGGGCAAGGAAAACUCACACCCAGUGGGACGUCGGUGACAAUGAGGACUAUGAGAACCUUGGAGAGGAGGAAAGCAAUGGAUGUCGAGCGGGUCUAACAUGAUACUGUGAGAGUUCAAUCCAUAAUGGAUCCAACACAGUCGCAAGAGUCCAGUCCAAAGCGGAUCCAACACAGCAGCGAGAGUCCCGUUCACAGCGGAGCCAGCAGGAAACCAUCCCCUGUGACGCUCAGCUUCUUGUAGGUGAUCAAUGGUGUAUUUGCAACAUGGUGAAGUCCAGGGAGUGGUCAAAGAAGUCAAGAGAGGUAAUUUCUCUUCAUAAGAAAGGAUAUGGAUAUAAGGAAAAUAGCAAAGACAUUACACAUUCCAAGAGACACAGUUGGGAGCAUAAUUCGCAAGUUUAAAGCUAAAGGCAGAGUGGAAACACUACCUCGGCGUGGUAGAAAGAGGAUGCUGUCCGGUAUUUGAAGCGUACAGUGGUGAGGAACUACAACAGGACAUUGCAGAGGUGGGAAUGCAGGUUUCGUCCCAGACAAUAAGGCGCGCACUACGAGAUGAAGGCCUCCAUGCCAGAACUCCCUGGCGCACCCCACUUCUGACUACCAGGCACAAGUAAAAUAGACUCCAGUAUGCCAAAAAUCUUCUGGACAAACCCCACAGGUUUUGGGAAACUGUUCUAUGGAGUGAUGAGACAAAAGUGGAACUCUUUGGGCCUAUGAAUCAACGUUAUGUCUGAAAAAAUGAAGCUUACAAAGAGAAGAACACCUUGCCUACUGUUAAGCAUAGUGGGGGGGUCAAUCAUGCUCUGGGGCUGUUUCUCUGCCUCAGGUACCGGGAAUCUCCAGCACGUUCAAGGCUUUAUGAAUUCUAUUUCCUAGCAGGAUAUAUUAGCUGCAAAUGUCAUGAAGUCAGUGACGAAGCUGAGGCUUGGGAGACGUUGGACCUUCCAACAGGACAAGGAUCCCAAGCAUACCUCCAAAUCAACAUCAGAGUGGUUGCAGAAGAAGGGCUGGAAGACUCUGGAGUGGCCUUCACAGUCGCCAGACCUAAAUCCUCUAGAAAAGCUGUGGUGGGACUUGAAGAAGGCAGUUGCAGCACACAAGUCCAAGAAUAUGAAAGAACUGGAGGCCUUUGCCCAAGAGGAAUGGGCUAAAAUACCUGUAGAUGCUUGCAAGAAGCUUGUGUAUCACCUUUGAAGGAUGUCAUUACUGCCAAAGGGUGUUCUACUAAGUACUAAAGAUGCAUGGAACUAGGGGGUUGAAUCAUUUUGUCAAUGAGAUAUUAAGAAAAAUGUCCUUUUUUUGGUAUUUUGUAAAAUACAGUGUUACAACUUAAGUUGCAUUUGUCUAUUUGACACAUUUUUAUUUGAUAUGACUAUAAACAAAAUACGGAAUAAAUGUCCAACUUGCUAAAACACCAAAAUUGUGUGGGGGUUGAAUAAUUUUGAUCACAACUGUAAUUUGGCACCAUUCCCAAAAUUACGUGGGCUCUAUUAUACCUCACUAAAAACUUUUAACGACGCCCUGCGCGAAACCAUCGAUAGAAGACGAAGAAUGGACUUUAUUUUCAUUAUAUUUGCAUGUAACGAGAUUAAGGACUCCAAUUUAAAGGCCUACAGAAAUGAGAUUUUCUUAUUUAAACGGGGAUGGCAGGUCCAUUCUAUCUGUCAUAUUUGAUCAUUUUGCCAUAUUACCACUUUUUUUUUAUCUGAAAGGAUUUAGUAGAGAACAUCCACGAUAAAGUUCGCAAUUUUUGGUCGCUAAUAAAAAAACCUUGCCUGUACCGGAAGUAGCUGACAAUGUGCGCGUGAUGUCACGGGUUGUGGAGCUCCUUGCAUCCUUUGAUUGAUUGAUUGAUACUUUUAUUAGUAGAUUGCAAAGUACAGGACAUAUUCCGUACAAUUGACCACUAAAUGGUAACACCCGAAUAAGUUUUUCAACUUGUUUAAGUCGGGGUCCACGUUAAUCAAUUCCUCACAUUGUUUACAAUCAUGGCCACCAGCAGCGAGAGCGAUUCGGACCGAAAAAGCGACGAUUUCCCCAUUAAUUUGAGCGAGAAUGAAAUAUUCGUGGAUGAGGAAAGUUAGAGUGAAGGACGACAAACAAAAACAAAAAAAAGACGAAGGCAGUGGGAGCGAUUCAGAUGUUAAUAGACACAUUUACUAGUGUAGCCGAGUGUCCUGGGUUCACCUAUAAAGUGUACUUACAUAAUAAAAUAAUAAACAGGAGACAUUAGAGCAGGUCCGGUUGCCACCGCUUCUUUAAUGGGAUCUCCUUUACACUUCUCUUUCCACAACCACACACCCUACGUCACAGCCCCACGGCAACUCUGAAAAGACAAAACUCCUCAUCACUCCUCACACUCUCUGUUAACUUGGGACACCCUGAACUGUUUGUUACACCAGGAUAAUUCUGUAAAAUCCCUUAUCUGCUUAUUGUGUUACUAGUGUUUUAUUGAGAUUCACGGGGAGAACAUGCAAACUCCACACAGAAAGAUCCCGAGCCUGGGAUUGAACCCAGGACUGCAGGAUUGUGAGGCAGACGCACUAACCCAGGGGUGCCCACACUUUUUCUGCAGGCGAGCUACUUUUCAAUUGACCAACUCGAGGGGAUCUACCUCAUUUAUAUAUAUCAUUUAUAUUUAUUUAUUUAUGAAAGAGACAUUUUUGUAAACAAGUUAAAUGUGUUUAAUGAUAAUACAAGCAUGUGUAACACAUAUAGAUGUCUUUCUUUCACCAAGACAAGAAUAUAAGUUGGUGUAUUACCUGAUUCUGAUGACUCGCAUUGAUUGGAAUCAGACAGUAAUGAUGAUAACGCCCACAUUUUCAAAUGGAGGAGAAAAAAAGUUGUCCUUUCUGUACAAUACCACAUGAAAGUGGUUGGUUUUUGGCAUCUAAUUCAUCCAGCUUCCAUACACUUUACAAGAAAAACAUUGGCGGCAAA